rnacentral:tRNA from 1 species
GGAGAGGUGGCUGAGCGGUCGAAAGCGGCGGUCUCGAAAACCGUUGUAGGGCAACCCCCUACCGAGGGUUCGAAUCCCUCCUUCUCCGCCA